rnacentral:rRNA from 1 species
UACAGAGGGUGCGAGCGUUAAUCGGAAUUACUGGGCGUAAAGCGCGCGUAGACGGUUUUGUAAGUCAGAUGUGAAAUCCCUGGGCUCAACCUGGGAACUGCAUUUGAGACUGCAUGGCUAGAGUAUCGAAGAGGGAAGUGGAAUUUCCGGUGUAGCGGUGAAAUGCGUAGAUAUCGGAAGGAACACCAGUGGCGAAAGCGACUCCUGGUCGAAUACUGACGUUCAUGUGCGAAAGCGUGGGGAGCAAACAGG